rnacentral:tRNA from 1 species
UUGUUUCUAGUUUAUUUAGAGAAUUUUGGCUUGUCGUGCCAAGGGAGUAAUUAUUUACGAAGCAAG